rnacentral:rRNA from 1 species
AACGAACGCUGGCGGCAUGCCUAAUACAUGCAAGUCGAACGAGCCCUUCGGGUCUAGUGGCGCACGGGUGUGUCACGCGUGGGAACCUGCACUUAGGUUCGGCAUAACUCCCCGACAGGGGUGCUAAUGCCGGAUCAUGUCUUCGGCCCAAAGAUUUAUUGCCCUUGGUUGGGCGCGCGUUGGAUUAGCUCGUUAGUAGGGUAAAAGCUUACCACGGCGACGAUUCAUAGCUGGGUUGUGAGGAUGAUCAGCCACACUGGGACUGAGACACGGCCGAGACUCCUACGGGAGGCAGCAGUGGGGAAUAUUGGACAGUGGGCGAAAGCCUGAACCAGCAAUGCCGCGUGAGUGAUGAAGGCCGUAGGGUUGUAAAGCGCUUGUACCCGUGAUGAUAAUGACAGUACCGGGAGAAAAAGCUCCGGCUAACUCCGUG